rnacentral:rRNA from 1 species
UACAGAGGUCCCAAGCGUUGUUCGGAUUCACUGGGCGUAAAGGGUGCGUAGGUGGUGAGGUAAGUCGGAUGUGAAAUCUCCGAGCUCAACUCGGAAACUGCAUUGGAAACUACCUUGCUCGAGGGUUGGAGGGGGGACUGGAAUGCUUGGUGUAGCAGUGAAAUGCGUAGAUAUCAGGAGGAACACCGGUGGCGAAGGCGGGUCUCUGGGCCGAUACUGACGCUGAGGAGCGAAAGCGUGGGGAGCAAACAGG